rnacentral:rRNA from 1 species
GAGAUUCACUGGGUUUAAAGGGUGCGUAGGUGGCGCGUUAAGUCAGUUGUGAAAUCCCCGGGCUCAACCCGGGAAUUGCUUCUGAUACUGGCGUGCUUGAGGCCGGUAUAGGUUACUGGAACGGACGGUGGAGCGGUGAAAUGCGUAGAUAUCGUCUGGAACGCCAGUGGUGAAGACGGGUAACUGGGCCGGUUCUGACACUGAGGCACGAAAGCGUGGGUAGCGAACGGGAUUAGAUACCCCGGUAGUCCACGCCCUAAACGAUGCAGACUAGACUGCAGCGGGUCUGACCCCGUUGCGGUCGUAGAGAAAUUGACAAGUCUGCCACCUGGGAAGUACGGUCGCAAGGCUAAAACUCAAAGGAAUUGACGGGGGCUCACACAAGCGGUGGAGCAUGUGGCUCAAUUCGAAGCAACGCGAAGAACCUUAUCCUGGGCUUGACAUGUUGGUGAAGUAUGUAGAAAUAUAUACGCUGUAACAAGCUCCAACACAGGUGCUGCAUGGCUGUCGUCAGCUCGUGCUGUGAAGUGUCGGGUUAAGUCCCAUAACGAGCGAAACCCUUAUCGUUAGUUGCUAACAGGUCAUGCUGAGCACUCUAGCGAGACUGCCGGUGUUAAACCGGAGGAAGGCGGGGAUGACGUCAAGUCCUCAUGGCCCUUAUGCCCAGGGCUGCACACGUGCUACAAUGCCGUUGACAAACUGAUGCAAGACCGUAAGGUGGAGCAAAUCGGUAAAAACGGCCCAGUUCAGAUUGAGGGCUGCAACUCGCCCUCAUGAAGUUGGC